AAUGAAUUGCCUGAAAAAAGGAAUACCUUGAUAGGGUAUAUCAUAUAGACAAACUAUAUUCAUUAU
rnacentral:tRNA from 1 species